rnacentral:misc_RNA from 1 species
CCAAUAGCGUAUAUUAAAGUUGUUGUGGUUAAAAAGCUCGUAGUUGAACCUUGGGCCUGGCUGGCCGGUCCGCCUCACCGCGUGUACUGGUCCGGCCGGGCCUUUCCCUCUGUGGAACCUCAUGCCCUUCACUGGGUGUGACGGGGAAGCAGGACUUUUACUGUGAAAAAAUUAGAGUGCUCCAAGCAGGCCUCUGCUCGAAUACAUUAGCAUGGAAUAAUAAAAUAGGACGUGCGGUUCUAUUUUGUUGGUUUCUAGGACCGCCGUAAUGAUUAAUAGGGACAUGCGGGGGCAUCAGUAUUCAAGUGUCAGAGGUGAAAUUCUUGGAUUUAUUGAAGACUAACUACUGCGAAAGCAUUUGCCAAGGAUGUGUUCAUUAAUCAGGAACGAAAGUUAGGGGAUCGAAGACGAUCAGAUACCGUCGUAGUCUUAACCAUAAACUAUGCCGACUAGGAAUCAGACGAUGUUAAUUUUUUAAUGACUCGUUUGGCACCUUACG